GAGGCAGGAGAAUGGUGUGAACUGGGCAAGUGGAGCUUGCAGUGAGCUGAGACCAUGCUCCUGCAUUCCAGCCUGAGGGACAGAGCAAGACUCCGUCUCAAAAAAUGAAAAAAAGAAAAAAAAAAAAAAAAAAAAAAGAGUGUGUGAUCAGUAGAGUAGAGUAAUUUGGGUGAAAUUGAAUCCAUUUCACCAAUAAAUUAAGUAAUUAAUCCUUUAAAACAGAUGCUAAAUAUAGUACCAUCAUAAUUGGAUCCUCGUGUACUGCCAUGGUCUUGAAUACGUUAAGAAAAUGCUGUUUGUUUAGAAGACUUUCAAAACAUUUGAGAGGGAGGAAGGCACUCUUCCAUUGACCCUCAGUGUGCAUUUUAGAUCCAUUUGGGGUUGACUGUUUUGUGUUGCUCCCUGAUGCCUCUAGCACAAGCCCAAGGCCUCCAUGUCUCAUGUCUUUCUUUCUCCCCUUCUCUGCCAUCCCUCUUCCACUCAGGGGAAUAGUCCAGCAUCAACUCAGUCCAUGCUUGUUAAUCAACCACCUCCAUAUACCACAUCCAGCAAAGCUCCCUGAGUGACUCACAGUCACAAACACCCAGGGCACUGAUCUUUCCUCUGUGGCCUUCCAGGUUCUUCUGAGGACAAUCUGAAUUUAAUACGCCUACCGCAAAGUGAAAUUGGUGAUUGGGAUAAUGAUGAUAAUGAUAAGGAUGAUGAGGAUGUUGAUAUCAUCCAGUUUUGUGAAAUCAUCAGGAGACUAACAGAUCUGUGUAAGGGAUGCAGCAGAGUUGAUCUAAUCCUCACGGCAUCUUCUUUUGUCUCAUUGCAGAUUUUCCCGUUGCCUGACCAAGGUAUGUACCUUGAACUAACUCACUUUCUGAGAAACAAGCUUGCUGGCUUUAAUAUAUAGAAACCUUAAUCUGGGUUCCUGUUAAAAAUAUUGGGGGUUGGCCGGGCACGGUGGCUCAAGCCUGUAAUCCCAGCACUUUGGGAGGCCGAGAUGGGCAGAUCACGAGGUCAGGAGAUCGAGACCAUCCUGGCUAACACGGUGAAACCCCGUCUCUACUAAAAAAUACAAAAAACUAGCCAGGCGUGGUGAUGGGCACCUGUAGUCCCAGCUACUCGGGAGGCUGAGGCAGGAGAUUAAUGUGAACCCGGGAGGGGGAGCUUGCAG
rnacentral:lncRNA from 1 species